rnacentral:rRNA from 1 species
UACGUAGGAUGCUGAGCGUUGUCCGGAUUUACUGGGCGUAAAGCGCGCGCAGGCGGCACUGUAAGUAAGGUGUGAAAUAUCCCUGCUCAACGGGGAGGGUGCACUUUAGUACUGCAGGAGCUAGAGGACGGUAGAGGGGGGUGGAAUUGCUGGUGUAGCGGUGAAAUGCGUAGAGAUCAGCAGGAACACCCGUGGCGAAGGCGGCCCCUGGGCCGAACCUGACGCUGAGGCGACGAAGGCUGAGGGAGCGAACGGGG